rnacentral:rRNA from 1 species
UGCAUAUCAAUAAGCGGAGGAAAAGAAACUAACAAGGAUUCCCCUAGUAACGGCGAGUGAAGCGGGAAAAGCUCAAAUUUGUAAUCUGGCGCCUUGGGCGUCCGAGUUGUAAUCUCGAGAAGUAUUUUCCGCGCUGGACCGCACAUAAGUCUGUUGGAAUACAGCGUCAUAGUGGUGAGAACCCCGUAUAGGGUGCGGAUGCCCAGUGCUUUGUGAUAUACUUUCGAAGAGUCGAGUUGUUUGGGAAUGCAGCUCAAAUUGGGUGGUAAAUUCCAUCUAAAGCUAAAUAUUGGCGAGAGACCGAUAGCGAACAAGUACCGUGAGGGAAAGAUGAAAAGCACUUUGGAAAGAGAGUUAACAGUACGUGAAAUUGUUGGAAGGGAAACGCUUGAAGUCAGACUUGCAUUUUGGAGUUCAGCCGCAAGGUGUAUUCUUCAAUUCGCAGGCCAGCAUCAGUUUUUGGGGGUGGAAAAGCGCGGUUCGAAGGUAGCAGUCUCGGCUGUGUUAUAGCUUGCCGCUGGAUUCACUUUUGGGGACUGAGGAACGCAGUACACUUUUUGCAAGAUUCUCGGAUCUUUCGUACUUAGGAUGCUGGUGGAAUGGCUUUAAACGACCCGUCUUGAAACACGGACCA